rnacentral:lncRNA from 1 species
UUUAAAGGAACGCCAAACAAAGCGGGCGCCAGGAGGGGGCUUCCCAGGUAGAUGUCCCAUCUCUAAAAAUACUCUUGACUAUUGGAAACGUGGGCACCAGUACACACAGCUGAUGAGCUGCUCUAAGCCAGGGCUUGCUUCCAGCAACUCCCCUCACACCAAAUGAAGAGGGUUUUGUUAUGUUGGUUGUUGUUAGUGAAAGGUUUCUGUUUUGUUUUUUGUUUUGUUUUUGUUUGUUUUUAAACACUCUUGUUGGGUCUUCUACAUCCUAUAUUAUCUUCCUAGGAGAAAGGUUAAUUUUCAUUUCAAAAAUGCGUGUGCUGCUGCACAAAACUCAUAGUGCUUCAUCCUAAAGAUUUUUUUAUGUCCAAAUAUUAAAAUACUAUAAUGAUGCUUUAAUGGAAUAAAAUGUUUGUCCAAUUAACCACUUCUUUGCUAUUUGUUAGAAUCUCUAGGAACAUAGGCCAGUUCCUUAAUGUAGUGUUUGUCCUAAGCCAUUAAAUACUCCAUCUUAAUUUUAUUACAUUAAGAUAUUCAAAAUUAUCUUCUUCAAAUCUUUGUG